UAUGAAAGUCAACACAAAACGUACGACGGUACGAGCGACAGCCCAGCCGUAUGACCGACGAUCCAUCUCAUCUUCCACCUCUAGCACGCCGCACCCCUGCCACGCCGCCGGUCUAAGCCCCUACCCUACCCCAAGUCCCCCACCCUCGCGGCCUUCCACCGCCGGCGAGACUCCACGGUGCGGUCGUUGCCGGCUCCCCCCGCCUCUGCUACCACGACGCCGCCGGGAAUCUUAUCCCCCGCCAUGCGAGUUGUCAUGGAGGCGGAGCUGAUUCGCCACGGGUGUGAGGGCGGAGGUAAAGACGAUGGUGCACUUGGAGGCACUGGGACGGGGUAGCGAGGUGAAGAAGAAGGGGUAGAAAGCAGUUGCGGUGCGUGUGUGCCUCAUCUCCAUUGUUUUGUGACCAAGCCCACCUGAAAUCUAGGCGGCAAAUUAUUCAUGGAUAUGCGGUACAAACCAUCCUUGUGAGAAAUCCAACGGAUUCGAUGAGGACUGAGGAAGGAGCCGGAGGAGGUGGUGGGUUGAGGAAGGAGCUGGAGCAGAGGCGGCUUUGAGGCUGCCCCUACACGCACUAAGAGGCAGGAGGAAAAUAUGAGGCGCCGGCGAUCCGGACGUUGCAGUGUUUUCUUCGUCUCUCCUGGUGCGAGACCAGAAAUUCAGAGGAUGUGCAAGAUGAAACAUGGUGCAUGAGGCUUCAUGAGCAUAAUUGUAAGGAUUACAAACUUUCUUAGGAAAACCAAUACAACAGUGAUAAAUAUAAUUUCAUUUAUAGCUCAUGUUUUGAACUGUAUUUUAUAUGCAAUUUCGAUAUCAUGGUGGAACACAAAAUUUAAAUAGAAAAGAAUAAUACUGGCCAAUGUAUACUUUUCAAGUUCAGAUAUAUAUACAUGCUUAACUAAAGUACGCACAGUGCAUACUGUGGAAUCACACGACAAAUAUUCAUGCUUUACUAAAUGCAUCUGCUCCAUUUUGGCAUAUGUGAAUCUCUUUUGGGGAUAGUUCUGUGUGGCCUUGGAUCAAUCCUGAACUGGUUGGUGUUAUAUACCCAUUCUCUUCACAUGACCCAAUAGGUAUUAGAGAGGAACAUGUUACUUUGGUUACUUUUAUCUCCAUUUUACGCAAUUUAGCUUGUUGCAACUGUGGUUUUAUGCUGCAGUUGAUAAUAUCCUUUUAGUUAGAUGGCAAUCUUCCUCUAUCCUUUUCAUUGUACUAUGUUUUUGAAGCUCUGAUGUUUAUUUGAAAAAUAGAAACUAGCAAAAUUUUGUUUGCCGCUGCUUGGUCAGGCAAAGCCAGCUGUUCGUUACUGUGUGCGGUUCUCUUGCCAUUUUAUGGGGUGCAACUGGAACUGGCAGAAGACUGUAGUUGUGUCGUUGUCACAUUUACUGAUUUGAUGUUUCUUUUCAAGAUUAUAGUAUUUCUUUACCAAUUUCUUUCUUCUAUUCCUUCUAGAUAAUUUGCUUCAGUUCUACUCCCUCCAUUCUGAUUUACUCCUCGUGGUUUUAGUUUUGAACUAAAACCACGACGAGUAAAUCAGAAUGGAGAGAGUACAUGGUGAAACAUGCAUAUUGUUUCCCGAUAUAUUGGGCAUCAGUCCACCUCUCAUGAGAUCUCUGAAUUUUCAACCCAUAUUGUGUUUGCUGAAUUAUUUCCUCUAGAUAACUAUGCUUGGAUUAAAAAAUGUGUGCAAUUGCUUUCAAAUGGAGGUUAUUUCUUUACUAAUUCUGUGCUAUUCCACUUUCAAGCUUUUGGACCUAGAAGUGUAAUACUAGCUAGGUUAGCUGCAGAAGCGGGAUUUAUAUGGCCUGAAUUUUUAUUUCACAGUAUAAACUGAUUCAAAGUAUUUCUGACUCCUUGCGUUCUGAAACAUUUUGUUGUAUGGUUCUGUCUUGAAAGAAUUGAAGCAAUUUUUCUAUGGGAGAUAAUAUGAAUGUGAUUCCGAAACAACAUGCAGUGUCAUUAAGUUUCUUAUUUACCAACUUAAACAUGGUCAGUAAUAGCACAACUAAAGUUUCUGAACAUAUCAUUAUAGAACUGUUGGCUGGAUUGUGUUUUGUAUGGAUUCUUCAAGGGACAUUUCUAAGGAAUUACAAGUUAGUUUUACAUUUUUCUAGCCAUGCUCAUUGUCUUUGGAUUGCCAAUGCUCGGAUCGGUUUGUGAUCAAGUGGACACAACGACUACCGUUAGUGAGGGUUAAGUAAGGGGUGACCUGAGUGGGCGCCGUGUUGAGAUACACGAUGUUAGUUGAGAUAGAGGAUGUUAGCAUGUGGGGAGGGGGUCUUGAGCCAUGCUUAUUUUUGGUCUACGUCUGUGUGAUAUGUUUUUUUUCCGUAGCAACACACGGACAUUUUUGCUAGUCUUUUCCUAAUCUUUUCCUAAUUUUUUAUAAUAAUAAAGCAUGGAUUAACUCCGUGGGUUUACCAUCACAAUACGCUUCUUCCCGUGAUUUUAUGCUUUCAGUUUUACAGUUUUAAAUUAAAACGUAUUCGAGGUGGUACGAAAUUGUGUUGGGUUCUCCGUUGCGGCGUAUUUUCAGAAAAGCCCCUUACGUUUUGAAGAAUCAACCCGCAGUCCUUUUUUAACUGGCUAACUGAGAUAAUGUUUCAUUGUUGCAAAAACGUCCAUGUAGUUUAGUAUAUUCACCCCGCAGUCCUUUAAACAAACACAUCACAACAGAUCCUCUUCCUCUUCCCCAUGCACGAGCGGGCGCACCGCCGCCGCCACCGCCUUCCUCGCGGAGUCUGCGGCCGAAGGAUCGGUUGGGGCGCACCGGGUCUAGGCCGGCCUUCUGUGGGGCACAGUGCGAGCUCUCGGCUCGGGGCAGGAGGUGGCUCGAUGAAGAGGAGCUGGGGCGCGGCGCUCCUCUCCUGGUGUGGCGCACGAGGGAAGGAGGAGGGGAUCGACCCAAGAUGGGAGCUGAGGCCGGCGGCGCCCUUCACACAAGCCUCACCGGCGGUGCCCUCUACACAAGCCUCACCGGCAGUGCCCUCUACACAAGCCUCACCGGCGGUGCGGCGGGAGAGCUCCUACCCGUCCAUAGGUGCGGGGAUGCAGAUCCGCGUCGCCAGCCUGUACUAGGCCGAGGUUGACACGCCGGUGCAGGGGUCACCGUCCAUCUUCGUCAGGCCUCCAGAGUACUCCAGCAACAGCCACUGGACGGCAGAUAUUUUGCCGGAUGACCAACUGUAUUAGGAUGCCACAUCCUUUCUUCCUCACCUAGCACACGGCAUUCCUGUAUGUCAUUGUGUGCUUCUCAGUACAGUAGAUUUACCACGCAGGGUGGUGACUGGGAGGCUGGGACAUGCUGGCACGGUCAAACAGCCGGUUCACUGUGAUCAGGGUGCUAGAGGCUCUUGGGGUCGCAGCCCGCUCGCCUGCUGGAGGUACAAUGUUGAUUAUUUAGAGACCUCAUCUUCAUGAGACUAGCAAGGGAUGGACAUUCUGAAGAAGAGGAGAUGCGAGUUUCUGAAGUUCACCGUCCAAUCCAAGUAUUAAAGAUGAGCAUUACUAUUCAAAGGGACAUAAUUAACCUGUUAAAUUAUUUUUAGAGCAAGAAACCAGUUAUUAUCUAACCGAAUAACUAUAAAGUAGCUACUUUUUCCAAAAUGAGGUGUCGUCUUUAAAUAGAGGAGAUGGACCGGAGAGGGGGCUUGAGAAAUGCUUAUUAGGGUAGAGGCGUAUGAUUUUUUUCUCCCGUUGCAACGCACAGGCAUGUUUGCUAUAAUAAUAAAGCAUCCAGUGAAGGGGCUUAGAAAAAUAGAAACGAUUCUAUUUGAUA